CUCCCCUUCUGUUCAGGAAAGGGCCAGUUUCCCAUUGAUAUCAACAAAACAUGCCAUAUCAAAGUUGCAGUAAGACUAAGCACCUCCCCCCUCCCCCCAGUGUCUCAUUGCUCUUUAGGUGGCAAACUUGGGUUAGGUCCUUGUCCAGUCCCCAUGUCCUCUGCCAGGUGCCGGGUUUAUAGUGCCGCGCAGCUGUAUUUCAGUAUGUUUUUUCAGCAGCAGGUGUGCGCCUUUGGCCAGCAGUCGAGAAGUUAGGUGCUUACUCUCUGUAAGACCGGGGCCACGUGACUUCAUCGGGGCGGCUCUGGUUCUCUGUCCCACCUCUGUCUGCUUCUGUAGAGGAUUGAUGAGGUCAUUCCAGAGGCUGGGGUUCUGCAGGUCUGGGUUGGGGCCUUGACCGUGUCUGGAAUUGUGGGUAGCCCAGGCGGGCAUGUAAAUUAGAGUCCUGUGUCAGCAUUCUGAGUGCUUAGAUGAGAGCCAUCUACCACUACCACUUGUUUGAAAGCUGGAUCCAGAUGAAAAUAAAUGGAACUGUUUAUUCUAGAAUGCUUGCUAGACUGGUUGAGAGUUAUUUUUUUUUUUUAUAAUGUAUUUGAUGUGCAUUGCUGUUUUUGUCUGCAUGUAUGUCUGUGUGAGGGUGUCAGAUCUUGGAGUUACAGACAGUUGUUAGCUUCCAUGUGGGUGCUGGGAAUUGAACCCGGGUCCUCUGGAAGAGCAGCCAGUGCUCUCAACCACUGAGUCAUAUCUCCAGCCCUGGUUGAGAAUUUUUAAAAAAGUGAAUCGUAAUUACAAAACUCAGCUCCAGUUUGAAAAGUGGCUGUGGGUUCAAGUGCUGAGUUAAAUUUGAAGUCUAAAUAACCCUGACGGUUAUUCCACUCUGAGUUUCUGAGUUAUUAUUUUAGUCAUGACACAGUUUUCCCUAACCCCCCCCCCCAUCUUCCACUCACAGAGCUGGGGAACAAAGCCCAGGCAGUUCACAUGGACGUUUCUUACCCGGUCUUCUCCCAGGUGUGUCGGAAGAAGCACCCCACACUCCCCUCCGAGUGUAACGAUGGGUUGCGGGCCAGAGUGUGGCAGUUGCACUGUUGGGACAUGCAGAGGUGUCUUUGGGAUUUGCUCGUCCCCAGCCUUCCGCUCUGCCCUCCGCACCCCUCCCGUCCACGGACCUCGCCGGGGCCACUCUCCGAUGGUUCCUUGUUUCCGCAGCCCUUGCCUGUUCCUGCGCCGCCCGUCUGCUUAUUCCCGCUUUGGCAAGUGGGAAAGUGAGAGUGUUUGGCCCAGCUAGAGAUCACUGGAGGGCUUGGAGGGUUUCUUGGUUGUGACCUGAUUAAAAACAAUGUAGGCUGGGUGUGGCAGCUCACCCCGUCAGUCCCAGCAUGUCUCUCAGGAGGCCAGCCUGGUCUACAUAUCAAGUUCCAGGAAAGCCAAGGAGAUCUUGUCUCAAAACCAAACCAAACGAAACGAAAAUAGAAUGGCUGAGUAGGGCACUGCUGAGUAGGAAGGCUGAGAGUUUUAUUGUACUCCAUAUAGGACUCUAUAUACUUCUGCCUCUUAUAGAUGUGGCAAACACACAUAUAUACAUACACACAUAAACACCCACAAACAGACCAAAAGCAUGUAUAGUGCUGGAGGCCUGCUUUACCACUAAGCUGCAUCUGCUACUUGGUCUUUUAAAGCAUUGGUUUAUUUAGACUUUGUAUCUUUGAGAGCCAGUACUUCCUUAGGUUUUUGGUGGUACUAAGGAUUGAAUGAGGGCCUCAGCUUAUUCCAAGAGCUCUUCUGCUAGCCCCACCCCAGCCCCCGUCACUGGUGGAUGUAGUCAAGCUCCUAGAGCUCUUCACACCGCCUUGUUUAUUACCCCCCCACACACCUUUUUUGAGAUAGCAUCUCACUGGGUAGCCUUGGCUGGCCUGGAAUUCAGAGAUCCAGUGAAAUAAAUGCCUGGUCUUAGUCGUAGACUUGAUUUUUGCAUUGCCUAGGCUUUGGACAUGCUGAGCAAGGACUCUGUUACUGAGCUGCAUCCUGGCCCUGGUCUUAGAUUUCCUGACAUUUAAAAUUACAUUAUCUCAUUUACGUUUUUUUGACUAAGGAGGAUGGCAACAUAUGCCAUAUGAUCACAGAAAGGGGAGGGAAGCCAUGUAUAUAAAACACAUUAACUCCAUGCAUUUCUUUUUCUCCUCUUCAGGACAGGGUUUCUUUGUAGCCCUGGCUGUUCUGGAACUCUUGUAGACUAGACUGGCCUCGAACUCAGAGAUCUACCUGCCUCUGCCUCCCGAGUACUGGGACUAAAGGCGUGCACCACCAUGCCCAGCUGUUUGUUUGAAUGUUUUCUUUGGGAAGAAUUUGCAUAGAUCUGGGCAAAUCUCUUCCUAGCAUAGAAGCACCAUGUAGGAAUUGUUGGCUCCUUUGUGAAGAAGCAGCCCCAGGCUGCAUUUUCCAGUGUUGAUCUGGGUUCUCACACAUGCUGAGCCAGGCAGAGGCUCCCCUGAAUGUCAACCCUGACUCUGAGCCCCAGAUUCGCCAGUGCAAUCUUCCCUGGUUUCCACAUUUUCUCACUUGACAGUUUAUUUGUGGAAUAUUCAUACAAGUACAUAAAAUUAGCUUAGAUUCCGCCACCCAUUUAACAAAUCAUAUUCAUAGAAGAAAGUUGUCAAGGCGCUUGCCAGGCAAGCGUACGGACUGGGGCUUGCUCUUCAGCACCCAUUUAGGACAGCCAGCUGCAGCAGAGACCGUCUGUGAGCCUACUGCUGGGGAGGUGAGGACAGCAGCAGUCCCACUCCAGCUGAGCCCUGAAUUCCAGGUCCAGUGAAAGACUCUCAGAAACAGGUGGAGCGCUAGAGGAAGAUCUCUGCUUCUCCACGAUGACAGACAUCCGUCACAUACUCAGAAGGAUGCAGUGGCACUAAGAUGGGACCUGCUGGGCGGAGUGAUGCAUUCCUUUCAUCUAAUCCCAGUACUUCUGAAACUGAAUUUGAGGCCAGCUUGGUCUACAUGGCGACUUCCAGGCCAGCCCUGACUAUCCAGUAAGACUUUGUCUUAGUUCCCUUGCCACACUCAGCCCAUUCGAAGGGGGGUUGGGAGGGUUCUGGGUUUCAGCAGCCUAGCCCAGCCAGGGCUGCAGUCCCUGUAGUUCUGGCUUGGGCACCAUGCGUUUCCCGGCAGUUCUUGCACAUUUUUAUUUUGAAGACAGGUUCUCACUGUAGUCUGGGCUCAGAUUCACCAGCUGCUUUAGCACCCCAGGUGCCUUCCGACUUCUGGCUUCGGAGUUCUGUAGGUACCCCCACCUCCUUUUAUUUUCCGAGACAGGAUCUCAUGCAGUCCAGUGGAUGGAACUUCAUACAUAGUUGAGGGAUUUCUGAUCCUUUCUCUCUCAAGAGCUGUAUUCUAGGCAUGUACUACCACUCUCAGUUCAUGGGACUCAGGGGAUCAAGCCCAGGGCCUCUCUUAAAGCUUUCUUGACUGACCUACAUCUCCAACCCUUGACUCUUUGAAAACCGUAGGAGUCAUUUUACAGGGUCUGUGUCAACUUGGAUCUGUCCAUUUCUUUCUUCCUCAUGGUUUCCCGGGUGAAGUGUUGAGGGCUGGGCUUAGUGAUGUGUUUUCUUGGAGUUCUGUUGGGAGGUGUCUCCAUGUCUGGAGUCAGUGUUGUCUUUCUCCCUUGGUUAAGAUGGAGGCUCCUCUGUUUCACUUGGUGAAGAGAUGGCACUUGGGGACAAGGACAUGGUUGUCCAAGCCCGUAGUCUAACCCCCUCUGCUUUUCCUUCUAGGGUGUUGGGGAUGGGCUUCAGCACUGACCGAAGUGCUGUGUCACGGAGCCACACCAUAUCCCUACCGCUGUUCUUAGGUUACAGCGGAAAGUGUGUUUGCCAAUUGUAUCAAGCGAACGUCAGCCUUUUAUAAUAAACAUCAAGAUUCCAAGAUAAACCAAUAGCAUCAAUAAACUACCUUAAACGUA